AUGACAUGAUCGAGACAUUUUCGGAUGAGAUCCUUUAAUCUUUCCCAUGAUUCAUGGAACUUCUCACUAUCGUCCUGUGAAAAGCUAGUGAGAGCUCCCCUUAUCUG
rnacentral:snoRNA from 1 species